GGUGUUGUGGCUCAGCUUAUCAAAGCGCUUGUCUCUUAAAUAGAAGAUCCAGGGUUCAAAUCCCAGCAGUACCA
rnacentral:tRNA from 1 species